rnacentral:tRNA from 1 species
UCCCUGAUAGCUCAGUUGGUAAAGAUUCUGCCUGCAACGCAGGAGACCUGGGUUCGAUCCCUGGGUUGGGAA